UACGUAGGGUGCAAGCGUUAAUCGGAAUUACUGGGCGUAAAGCGUGCGCAGGCGGUUUUGUAAGUCUGUCGUGAAAUCCCCGGGCUCAACCUGGGAAUUGCGAUGGAGACUGCAAGGCUAGAAUCUGGCAGAGGGGGGGUAGAAUUCCACGUGUAGCAGUGAAAUGCGUAGAGAUGUGGAGGAACACCGAUGGCGAAGGCAGCCCCCCUGGGUCAAGAUUGACGCUCAUGCACCGAAAGCGUGGGGAGCAAACAGG
rnacentral:rRNA from 1 species